UAUGAACGCUAGCUACAGGCUUAACACAUGCAAGUCGAGGGGCAGCAUGGUCUUAGCUUGCUAAGGCCGAUGGCGACCGGCGCACGGGUGAGUAACACGUAUCCAACCUGCCGUCUACUCUUGGACAGCCUUCUGAAAGGAAGAUUAAUACAAGAUGGCAUCAUGAGUCCGCAUGUUCACAUGAUUAAAGGUAUUCCGGUAGACGAUGGGGAUGCGUUCCAUUAGAUAGUAGGCGGGGUAACGGCCCACCUAGUCUUCGAUGGAUAGGGGUUCUGAGAGGAAGGUCCCCCACAUUGGAACUGAGACACGGUCCAAACUCCUACGGGAGGCAGCAGUGAGGAAUAUUGGUCAAUGGGCGAGAGCCUGAACCAGCCAAGUAGCGUGAAGGAUGACUGCCCUAUGGGUUGUAAACUUCUUUUAUAAAGGAAUAAAGUCGGGUAUGGAUACCCGUUUGCAUGUACUUUAUGAAUAAGGAUCGGCUAACUCCGUGCCAGCAGCCGCGGUAAUACGGAGGAUCCGAGCGUUAUCCGGAUUUAUUGGGUUUAAAGGGAGCGUAGAUGGAUGUUUAAGUCAGUUGUGAAAGUUUGCGGCUCAACCGUAAAAUUGCAGUUGAUACUGGAUAUCUUGAGUGCAGUUGAGGCAGGCGGAAUUCGUGGUGUAGCGGUGAAAUGCUUAGAUAUCACGAAGAACUCCGAUUGCGAAGGCAGCCUGCUAAGCUGCAACUGACAUUGAGGCUCGAAAGUGUGGGUAUCAAACAGGAUUAGAUACCCUGGUAGUCCACACGGUAAACGAUGAAUACUCGCUGUUUGCGAUAUACUGCAAGCGGCCAAGCGAAAGCGUUAAGUAUUCCACCUGGGGAGUACGCCGGCAACGGUGAAACUCAAAGGAAUUGACGGGGGCCCGCACAAGCGGAGGAACAUGUGGUUUAAUUCGAUGAUACGCGAGGAACCUUACCCGGGCUUAAAUUGCAGAUGAAUUACGGUGAAAGCCGUAAGCCGCAAGGCAUCUGUGAAGGUGCUGCAUGGUUGUCGUCAGCUCGUGCCGUGAGGUGUCGGCUUAAGUGCCAUAACGAGCGCAACCCUUGUUGUCAGUUACUAACAGGUUCCGCUGAGGACUCUGACAAGACUGCCAUCGUAAGAUGUGAGGAAGGUGGGGAUGACGUCAAAUCAGCACGGCCCUUACGUCCGGGGCUACACACGUGUUACAAUGGGGGGUACAGAGGGCCGCUACCACGCGAGUGGAUGCCAAUCCCCAAAACCUCUCUCAGUUCGGACUGGAGUCUGCAACCCGACUCCACGAAGCUGGAUUCGCUAGUAAUCGCGCAUCAGCCACGGCGCGGUGAAUACGUUCCCGGGCCUUGUACACACCGCCCGUCAAGCCAUGGGAGCCGGGGGUACCUGAAGUGCGUAACCGCGAGGAGCGCCCUAGGGUAAAACUGGUA
rnacentral:rRNA from 1 species